rnacentral:lncRNA from 10 species
GGCGUUGGCUGCUAGAGCGAUGCCGGGCCGGAGUUGCGUCGCCUUAGUCCUCCUGGCUGCCGCCGUCAGCUGUGCCGUCGCGCAGCACGCGCCGCCGUGGACAGAGGACUGCAGAAAAUCAACCUAUCCUCCUUCAGGACCAACGUGAGUAAACAUCAGAUGAUCAAAACUCCCUUUGACCUUUGUGAAGUUUUUUCUGUAUGUAAUAAUUGCUCAUAAACGAACGAUAGUGAAUAAAAUCUUAAGUCAUGUUUCCCAUUCCGAGACAGAGGUUUGUUUCUCAGAUUUGUUUAUUAUGCAUUUGGCUGAGAUCUUGGACAAAUAUGAAAAUAUCUUCCGAUUCAAAUGCCCGUCGCUAGACUAUCAAAAUCAUCGGAAAGAAAAGGAUUUUCAGCCAGACGCGGUGGCUCACGCCUGUAAUCCCAGCACUUUGGGAGGCCGAGGCGGGUAAAUCAUAAGGUCAGGAGAUCGAGACCAUGCUGGCUAACAGUGAAACCCCGUCUCUACUAAAAAUACAAAAAAUUAGCCAGGCGUGGUGGCGGGCGCCUGUAGUCCCAGCUACUCUGGAGGCUGAGGCAGGAGAAUGGCGUGAACCCGGGAGGCGGAGCUUGCAGUGAGCCGAGAUCGCACCACUGCACUCCAGUCUGGGCGACAGAGUGAGACUCUGUCUC